rnacentral:rRNA from 1 species
CAGCCGCCGCGGUAAUACGUAGGUGGCAAGCGUUGUCCGGAAUUAUUGGACGUAAAGCGCGCGCAGGUGGUUUAAUAAGUCUGAUGUGAAAGCCCACGGCUCAACCGUGGAGGGUCAUUGGAAACUGUUAAACUUGAGUGCAGGAGAGAAAAGUGGAAUUCCUAGUGUAGCGGUGAAAUGCGUAGAGAUUAGGAGGAACACCAGUGGCGAAGGCGGCUUUUUGGCCUGUAACUGACACUGAGGCGCGAAAGCGUGGGGAGCAAACAGGAUUAGAUACCCGAGUAGUCCCUGUCUCUUAUAC